rnacentral:rRNA from 1 species
ACUCCUACGGGAGGCAGCAGUGGGGAAUAUUGGACAAUGGGGGGAACCCUGAUCCAGCCAUGCCGCGUGUGUGAAGAAGGCCUUAUGGUUGUAAAGCACUUUAAGCGAGGAGGAGGCUACUAGUAUUAAUACUACUGGAUAGUGGACGUUACUCGCAGAAUAAGCACCGGCUAACUCUGUGCCAGCAGCCGCGGUAAUACAGAGGGUGCAAGCGUUAAUCGGAAUUACUGGGCGUAAAGCGUGCGCAGGCGGUCUGUUAAGCGAGAUGUGAAAGCCCCGGGCUCAACCUGGGAACUGCAUUUCGAACUGGCAGACUAGAGUCUUGUAGAGGGGGGUAGAAUUCCAGGUGUAGCGGUGAAAUGCGUAGAGAUCUGGAGGAAUACCGGUGGCGAAGGCGGCCCCCUGGACAAAGACUGACGCUCAGGCACGAAAGCGUGGGGAGCAAACAGGAUUAGAUACCCUGGUAGCGAGUAG